ACAUAAAAGUGUAUUGUUGCA
rnacentral:siRNA from 1 species